UACGGAGGAUGCGAGCGUUGUCCGGAAUUACUGGGUGUAAAGGGAGCGUAGGCGGGGAUGCAAGUUGGGUGUUAAAUCUACCGGCUCAACUGGUAGUCGCACUCAAAACUGCAGCUCUUGAGUGAAGUAGAGGCAGGCGGAAUUCCUAGUGUAGCGGUGAAAUGCUUAGAUAUCACGAAGAACUCCGAUUGCGAAGGCAGCCUGCUGGACUGUAACUGACGCUGAUGCUCGAAAGUGUGGGUAUCAAACAGG
rnacentral:rRNA from 1 species